AAUCAGGAUUGAGGGCGCGGCUUUCCGCAGCGACUUCCGGCAAUAAACCCGGACGCGCCGCCGCGGUCAGGUGGGCUCCGCGGUGGCCGGCGCUGCAGGUGGGAGCGGGGACACUCGGCGCGCAGAGCGAUGCCGUUUCUGGGCCAGGACUGGCGAUCUCCCGGAUGGAGCUGGGUUAAAACGGAGGACGGCUGGAAGCGCUGUGAGCCCUGGCGGCAGGACCUGGACCGAGAGAGCGCCCAGCGCAGCGUCCCGCACAGCAUAAUCCUAAAUAGUGAAGAUGACGACAUAUUUACUAGUGAGGAGCAUGGAUAUGCCUCCAAGAAAAGGAAAAAGGACCAUUUUAGAAAUGACAGCAAUACUCAAUGUUUUUUUCGUGAAAAAUGGAUCUAUGUCCACAAAGAAAGCACAAGAGAAGCUUCAUUGGCCCUCCCCCCAAAUGUGUCCCAACAAAAGAAAUCGGCGAGAUGCGUGAUGGGUCCGUCUUUGUCGUCCUGCCUGCGGGGUGAGGCUGUCUGUGCUGCCUCAGUGAUGCAUGAUGCGGCACGGCUACUGCACGCUGGGGGAGGCCUUCACCCGCCUGGACUUUUCGAGCGCUGUGCAGGACGUGCGCAGGUUCAGCUACGUGGUCAGAUGCUCGACGACCACCAGAACCCUCGGCUGAUCAAAGACCUGCUCCAAGACCUCAGCUCCACCCUCUGCAUCCUGAUCCGAGGCGUGGGCAAGUCCGUGCUGGUGGGGAACAUCAACAUCUGGGUCUGCCGCUUGGAGACGAUUCUCGCCUGGCAGCAGCAGCUGCAGAACCUGCAGAUGACGCAGGAGAACCACGGCCUCACGCUCAGUGACCUGCCCUUGCACAUGCUGAACAACAUCCUGUACCGGCUCUCCGACGGCUGGGACAUCGUGACGCUGGGCCAGGUGAGCCCCACGCUGCACACGCUCAGCGAGGACCGGCGGCUCUGGAAGAAGCUGUGUCAGUACCACUUCGCCGAGAAGCAGUUCUGCAGGCACCUGAUCCUCUCGGAGAAGGGCCACGUGGAGUGGAAGCUGAUGUACUUUGCGCUGCAGAAGUGCUACCCGACGCGGGAGCAGUACGGGGACACGCUGCUCUUCUGCCGGCACUGCAGCACCCUCUUCUGGAAGAUGUCUCUGAUGGGCCCCCUUCCUGUCUGCUACCCCCCAGAAGUCUGAUGCGUCCCCUUCCUGUCUGCUCUCCCCCAGACGUCUCUGAGGACAGGUUCUCCACGCUCAGGGCUGACUCCACGUGCCUCCUUCACUAAAUUUUAUUUUCUUCGCAAGUGAGCUGUUUCACCUGCAGUGCUUUCCACGCUUUGCCCUGAGUUUGUGUUUCCUGUGAGAUUCACGGGUAAAAAGUGGUGAAACUAAAGGCUGUGUGAGCCCGGCCCUGGGCAUCCUGCGGCCCCUGCCCUGUCCUUGUGGGCCUGGGCUUCCACCUGUGACACCACACGUGUUGGUUCAGUGCACAUCCUGCCCCGGCCUGCGCGAGGCCAAGUCCAGCACAGGGAGCGGCGCAGCCGGAGACGCAGGAGCAGGAGAGAGGCCCCCAUGGCCCCCACGCCGGGCGCAGACCUGGUGACCAGGCGGAGCGGCAGAGGGCGGAUGGUCCCUCCAGUGGCGCCUGCACUUGGUGGCCCAGACGACCCGAAAGGCUGUGAACGACUCCAUGGCACAGUGUCCCCUCCCGUGUAAUGGCGGCUCUGCUCCCGUCUUGCAGGAACACAGAGGGUGGUGUCUGGCAGCCUGGUCACGGGGCGUGGGGGACUGAGACACGCAUCUACAGCUGCGGGUGCCAGGUGUUGGCUGGAGUCUCGGGUGCUGCCUUAGCGAUCCGGCUGUCGCCCGUUUCCUGCCGGUUUCUUUCAGUUGUUGUCACACAGCUCACCAGCCGCCCUUCUAAUCUCUCCCUUUUCCUCCCGCUCCUCCGACCUGUCCUCCAUCUCCAGGACUGCCGCCUCGCUUUGCUGUUCCAGGACUCGGGACACCCCUGCACGGCCACGGACCCCGACAGCUGCUUCACGCCCGUGUCCCCACAGCACUUCAUCGACCUCUUCAAGUUCUGAGGCCCUUCCCCACGGCGUGUCAGCCCCCGAGCCCAGCAUCCGCUGGCCGCUUCCUGCUCCGGCCGAGCUGCUGGCCGCUUCCUGCUCCAGCGGGGACGCCGCGCUGUGUGUGUUCACCUUUGAAGGGUCAGGGAACCCAGUGAAGUCAUUUCCGCCUCCUUCUCUAAGAACUUAUUUUCUUCUGAGCAUUGGAAAAUUCGCAACUUUGCCUCCUAACAAAUACGGUUCCGAAGGGCCCUGGGUUUUGAGCGCCACACGCUGUGCUGAGCUGACACCAAUCAGUGACACGCUGGGUGGUCACUUGCCUCCAGGUUUUGCGUAAGGGCGGGGGGACCAGCAUUCGUGUAAAUACCUUGUGCAGAAUAUUUAUUUUUCUUAAGAUGUAUUUUAACCAUACUGGUUGUGACCAAAUGACCUAGGGGAAUAUUUGUGUGUCCGUCCUGGUGUUUGGCGAUUGAGUUGUGAAUUGUGCAAAGUGUCUGUGACCAGCAGAGGUGUGAGUGGCGUGGCCGCCCUCCAGCCACAGCCCCGGCCGCGCACCGUGCUGCCCUCGGACAGACGCCGGCGUCUAGUGUCCCCGGAGCCCUGGAGGGAGGGAGACAUGACGAGCAGCAGCGGGGCAGCCUGAUGUCUCUGUGUGGAACUGCUUUACAGACAAUAAACCAUGUUUACUGACA